rnacentral:lncRNA from 1 species
GUAUCUGCGGGUCAACGGGAAGACGACCCAUGGGUUCAUAGUUGGAGCCUUUGUGGAUUUGCUUGUAGGCCUCGCUUCUUCUUCUUCUUCUUCUCCUCCACCUCCUCCUCCUCCUCCUCCAUCUUCUGCAUCAUCUUCCAACUCCUUUAAGAUCGAGGAACUCAAAGAGGAGGACGCCAGUGGAUCAAGUUAGCUUCCUUUAAUCCAACAAAAACAUAUAUAUAUAUAUAUAUAUAUAUAUAUAUAUAUAUAUAUAUAUAUAUAUAUAUAUAUAUAUAUAUAUAUAUAUAUAUAAAAUUUAUUUGAAGAGUCGUUAGACGAGCACCUUGUGUUCAUGGCUUCCAACCUCGUUCUCUGAUGGAAGAAGCCAGCGGUGCGUUGUCUCCUUGUAGAGUCUGCCGGAAGGGCCAUCACAGUGGUUCUCUCAAUCAUAGACAUCGGCAUGUCACCAGAUGCUUCUAUCAGAGCAGGACAAGUGCUGCCAUGGAUUAAAUGAACAACACUGCUGCUGCAGCAGAUCAUGACAACUGCUUGCACUGCUUCUGGUUGAUGAUUCCCAUCAGGUUAUGGCCAGCGGGGACAGAUGUGAAAGUUAUUGGGCUAACGUCCUUCUCCAGUAGGAGUUCGGGAGAACUGUAGAUGUUGGAUGGAUAGACGAUAUCAGUUGUACAUUUAACAUGUCCUCCGAAGAGAAAAAGGAGUGCACAGUGGGUAGUGAUUGCCCCCUUUCUCGAGGAAGGUCGCUUAC